UAGGAAGUCACAAAUGUCACGAGAGAUUGC
rnacentral:piRNA from 1 species